UACGUAGGGUGCGGGCGUUAAUCGGAAUUACUGGGCGUAAAGCGUGCGCAGGCGGUUUUGUAAGCCGGAUGUGAAAUCCCCGGGCUUAACCUGGGAAUGGCAUUCGGGACUGCAAGGCUGGAGUGCGGCAGAGGAGACUGGAAUUCCUGGUGUAGCAGUGAAAUGCGUAGAUAUCAGGAGGAACACCGAUGGCGAAGGCAGGUCUCUGGGCUGACACUGACGCUCAUGCACGAAAGCGUGGGGAGCAAACAGG
rnacentral:rRNA from 1 species